rnacentral:rRNA from 1 species
UACGAGGGGGGCGAGCGUUGUUCGGAAUUAUUGGGCGUAAAGCGUGCGCAGGCGGUUUGCUAAGACAGGUGUGAAAUCCCCGGGCUUAACCUGGGAACUGCGCUUGUAACUGGCAAGCUAGAGUGUGGCAGAGGGGGGUGGAAUUCCACGUGUAGCAGUGAAAUGCGUAGAGAUGUGGAGGAACACCGAUGGCGAAGGCAGCCCCCUGGGCUAACACUGACGCUCAUGCACGAAAGCGUGGGGAGCAAACAGG